GGAUUAGUGGCGAACGGGUGAGUAACACGUGAGUAACCUGCCUUACACAAGGGGAUAGCCUUUGGAAACGAAGAAUAAUACCCUAUAAAGUCAAAUUAUCGCAUGAUAGAAUGACCAAAGAUUUAUCGGUGUAAGAUGGACUUGCGUCUGAUUAGCUAGUUGGUGAGAUAAAGGCCCACCAAGGCAACGAUCAGUAGCCGGCUUGAGAGAGUGUACGGCCACAUUGGGACUGAGACACGGCCCAAACUCC
rnacentral:rRNA from 1 species